GAUGAACGCUAGCGGCAGGCUUAAUACAUGCAAGUCGUGGGGCAGCAUGAAUGUAGCAAUACAUUUGAUGGCGACCGGCAAACGGGUGCGGAACACGUACACAACCUUCCUAUAAGUGGGGAAUAGCCCAGAGAAAUUUGGAUUAAUACCCCGUAACAUAAUGAUGUGGCAUCACAUUAUUAUUAUAGCUUCGGCGCUUAUUGAUGGGUGUGCGGCUGAUUAGAUAGUUGGCGGGGUAACGGCCCACCAAGUCUACGAUCAGUAGCUGAUGUGAGAGCAUGAUCAGCAACACGGGCACUGAGACACGGGCCCGACUCCUACGGGAGGCAGCAGUAAGGAAUAUUGGUCAAUGGACGCAAGUCUGAACCAGCCAUGCCGCGUGAAGGAUUAAGGUCCUCUGGAUUGUAAACUUCUUUUAUCUGGGACAAAAAAAGGCGAUUCUUCGUCACUUGACGGUACCAGAUGAAUAAGCACCGGCUAACUCCGUGCCAGCCGCCGCAGUAAUAC
rnacentral:rRNA from 1 species